AUAAUAGGAUACAAAUCUAAGUUUUAUGAAUAUUCUGAAAUUAAUAUUAUCUAAUAAAUCUCUGAAGUUAAUUCAAUAAACAGUGACUUGUAGGGAACUGGAAGCCAAAUUGAAAGAAUUAGAUUAAAAAAACCAUGCUGUGACUAUAGCGGAGUUUGAAAAUAUUUUUGCCUAAAUUAAAAAUGUUUAAAUCCUAAUUUUACUGCCAACUCAGCUAAUAUACAAGUUUAAGAGGCCUAUUCGUAGCUUAAACUUGAGAAAUUCUCAGCAACUUUAGUUUAGCUAUCAUGGCUUAAAUUUAUAAUUGUGGCAAAAAAAAAAUGAAAAGUUGUGCCACUUCCCCAGCUGAUUUGCAGCAAAAUCUAAAUUGUAUUAAAUAAAAUGGCCACUUACGAAGGAUAGAUAUACCUUUAAUGGAG